AUCAGGUCAUGCGCAUCAGCGUCGAUGUCGCGGGACCGAACCUAACGCAUACGCACAGAGCAAAUGGGCUCUCCCGGGGUUACCCGGGAGGGCCUUUUUU
rnacentral:sRNA from 1 species